AGGACGAACGCUGGCGGCGUGCUUAACACAUGCAAGUCGAGCGGUGAACCGCCUUCGGGUGGGGAUCAGCGGCGAACGGGUGAGUAACACGUGAGCAACCUGCCCCUAGCUCUGGGAUAACUCCGGGAAACCGGGGCUAAUACCGGAUACGAGGCGUCUCGGCAUCGAGAUGUCUGGAAAGAUUUAUCGGCUGGGGAUGGGCUCGCGGCCUAUCAGCUUGUUGGUGGGGUGAUGGCCUACCAAGGCGACGACGGGUAGCCGGC
rnacentral:rRNA from 1 species